ACAACAACAACAACCCCCUCUACAACUCCCCGCAGUACAACAUCCACACCCAAACCUACUCCACCAGUGAGCACGGAGAAAAGCAGUCCAUCGACUUCUUCUACCAGAAGCAUCACUCCCACGACCCCAGCUAGGACAAGUAGCACCACCACCAGUUCUAAUUCUAUCAGUACCACCACAAAGGCGACACCUCCGAGCACCACAGGUCCACGUCCAACUGGUGCCCCAGUUUCCACCACGGUCUCUCCGGGUACCGUUACACCACAGGGAGUUUCUGCUCCAGCUGGCGGUAAUUUUGGAGUGGAUACAGUAACAGGCAUUAUCAUUGGCGCUGCAGCCGUGGUGUUCGUCAUCUUGCUUACCACCUCAAUUUGUAUUAUACAAAGACAGCGCAAGGCAUGGUUCGUUCUGGACGAGAAGACGGAUUUUGAACUUGCCGACGUUCAUCGAGGCGACGUGGGCUUUGAUAACCCCGUAUAUGAUGAAUCGGCUUCGGCCAGCGUGUUCGGUGAUCCAACAAAGUUGGCGGACACGUCAUAUGGAUUCAGUAACCCUGGAUACGGCGAUGCUUUUGGUGGUGACAGCACCAUUUGACUAACACUGACCACUGUCAUACUUUAAUUGUGAUCAAAAUGACUAACAAGAUUUUGGAACAGUGAACUGAGUCACUUGGAGUUCAAAUCGGCGCUAAUUUAAUGUAAAGUUAGAAUAAAUUCGUUAUUGUGUAUUUCUGCGAAUUAAAAAAAGAAAAGUAAAAUGAAAGAAAUCUACAAUAAAAUGACAACAUGACAACCGAUGAAAUAAAAUGAAACAGAAUAUAUUUUUUACACUUGUUAUACACUUUCUUUAAUUUUCUUGCACCAAUUACUAUAACGCAAAGAUUAAUAUUUCGCAAGGAUGAUAACAUCUGUUGCGAAUAAGUUACCUUUUUUA